rnacentral:rRNA from 1 species
GACGAACGCUGGCGGCGUGCUUAACACAUGCAAGUCGAACGAAGUGGCGAACGGGUGAGUAAUACGGGGGUAACCUGCCCUCCUUUUUGGGAUAAGCCUUGGACACGGGGUCUAAUACCGAAUAAAGGGGGAUGGGCUAGCGGCCUAUCUGCUUGGUGGUGGGGUGAUGGCCUACCAAGGCGGUGACGGGUAGCCGGGCUGAGAGGGUGACCGGCGACAUUGGGACUGAGAUACGGCCCAGAUGACGACGGGAGGCAGCAGUGGGGGAUAUUGCAAAAUGGGAGAAAGGCUGAUGAAGCGACGCCGCGUGGGGGAUGAAGGCUUUCGGGUUGUAAACUUCUUUCGGCAUCGAACGGGUACGUGGAGAAGAAGCGCCGGCUAACUACGUGCCAGCAGCCGCGGUAAUAC